GCUGGGUGUGGUGGUGCACGCCUGUAGUCCCAGCUACUUAGGAAGCUGAGGCAGGAGGAUAGCUUGAACCCAGGAGGUGGAGGUUGCAGUGAGCUGAGACUGUGCCAUCGUACUCCAGCCUGGGUGACAGAGCAAGACUCUGUCUCUC
rnacentral:SRP_RNA from 2 species